rnacentral:sRNA from 1 species
GCCAGGCGUGGUGGCGCACACCUGUAAUCCCAGCUACUUGGGAGGCUGAGGCAGGAGAAUUGCUUGAACCCAGGAAGCGGAGGUUGUAGUGAGCUGAGAUCACACCACUACAUUCCAGCCUGGGUGACAGAGUAAGACUCUGUCUCAA